rnacentral:rRNA from 1 species
GACGAACGCUGGCGGCGUGCCUAAUACAUGCAAGUAGAACGCUGAAGGAGGAGCUUGCUUCUCUGGAUGAGUUGCGAACGGGUGAGUAACGCGUAGGUAACCUGCCUGGUAGCGGGGGAUAACUAUUGGAAACGAUAGCUAAUACCGCAUAAGAGUAGAUGUCGCAUGACAUUUGCUUAAAAGGUGCAAUUGCAUCACUACCAGAUGGACCUGCGUUGUAUUAGCUAGUUGGUGAGGUAACGGCUCACCAAGGCAAUGAUACAUAGCCGACCUGAGAGGGUGAUCGGCCACACUGGGACUGAGACACGGCCCAGACUCCUACGGGAGGCAGCAGUAGGGAAUCUUCGGCAAUGGACGGAAGUCUGACCGAGCAACGCCGCGUGAGUGAAGAAGGGUUUCGGAUCGUAAAGCUCUGUUGUAAGAGAAGAACGAGUGUGAGAGUGGAAAGUUCACACUGUGACGGUAUCUUACCAGAAAGGGACGGCUAACUACGUG